GAGUUUGAUCAUGGCUCAGGACGAACGCUGGCGGCGUGCCUAAUACAUGCAAGUUGAACGAUGAUUUCUGGUACUUGUAUCAGAAUGAAGAGUAGCGAACGGGUGAGUAACGCGUGGGUAACCUACCUCUUAGCGGGGGACAACUAUUGGAAACGAUAGCUAAUACCGCAUAACAAUGCUUAACACAUGUUAAGCAUUUGAAAGUACCAAUUGGUACACUAGGAGAUGGACCCGCGUUGUAUUAGCUAGUUGGUAGUGUAAUGGACUACCAAGGCGAUGAUACAUAGCCGACCUGAGAGGGUGAUCGGCCACAUUGGGACUGAGACACGGCCCAAACUCCUACGGGAGGCAGCAGUAGGGAAUCUUCGGCAAUGGACGAAAGUCUGACCGAGCAACGCCGCGUGAGUGAAGAAGGUUUUCGGAUUGUAAACUCUGUUGUUAGAGAAGAACGUUGUGUAGAGUGGAAAAUUACACAAGUGACGGUAUCUAACCAGAAAGGGACGGC
rnacentral:rRNA from 1 species